rnacentral:rRNA from 1 species
GGACUACACGGGUUUCUAAUCCUGUUUGCUCCCCACGCUUUCGCUCCUCAGCGUCAGUUCCGGCCCAGAGCACCGCCUUCGCCACUGGUGUUCCUCCUGAUAUCUGCGCAUUUCACCGCUACACCAGGAAUUCCAUGCUCCCCUACCGGACUCUAGCCACAGCAGUAUCAGGUGGCGUCUCCAGGUUGAGCCUGGAGUUUUCACACCUGACUUACUGAGCCGCCUACGAGCUCUUUACGCCCAAUAAAUCCGGACAACGCUCGCCCCCUACGUGUUACCGCGGCGGCUGGCAC